rnacentral:rRNA from 1 species
UUAGCUAGUUGGUGGGGUAAAAGCCCACCAAGGCGACGAUCUGUAGCUGGUCUGAGAGGACGACCAGCCACACUGGAACUGAGACACGGUCCAGACUCCUACGGGAGGCAGCAGUGGGGAAUCUUGCACAAUGGAGGAAACUCUGAUGCAGCGAUGCCGCGUGAGUGAAGAAGGCCUUUGGGUUGUAAAGCUCUUUUGUAGGGGAAGAUAAUGACUGUACCCUAAGAAUAAGGUCCGGCUAACUUCGUGCCAGCAGCCGCGGUAAUACGAAGGGACCUAGCGUAGUUCGGAAUUACUGGGCGUAAAGCGCGCGUAGGCCGUUGAGUUAGUUAAUUGUGAAAUCCCGAAGCUUAACUUUGGAACUGCAAUUAAAACUGCUCGACUAGAGUUUGAUAGAGGAAAGCGGAAUACAUAGUGUAGAGGUGAAAUUCGUAGAUAUUAUGUAGAACACCAGUUGCGAAGGCGGCUUUCUGGAUCAACACUGACGCUGAGGCGCGAAAGUAUGGGUAGCAAAGAGGAUUAGAUACCCUCGUAGUCCAUACCAUAAACGAUGAUUGCUAGAUGUUGGAAAUUUAUUUUCAGUAUCGCAGCUAACGCAUUAAGCAAUCCGCCUGGGGAGUACGACCGCAAGGUUAAAACUCAAAUGAAUUGACGGGGACCCGCACAAGCGGUGGAGCAUGUGGUUUAAUUCGAAGAUACGCGCAGAACCUUACCAACCCUUGACAUGUCUGUCGCGAGUUUAGGAACUAGACUUUUCGGUCGGCCGGACAGACACAGUGCU